rnacentral:rRNA from 1 species
AUUGAACGCUGGCGGCAUGCUUUACACAUGCAAGUCGAACGGUAACAGGCCGCAAGGUGCUGACGAGUGGCGAACGGGUGAGUAAUGCAUCGGAACGUGCCCAGUCGUGGGGGAUAACUACUCGAAAGAGUAGCUAAUACCGCAUACGAUCUAUGGAUGAAAGCGGGGGACCGUAAGGCCUCGCGCGAUUGGAGCGGCCGAUGUCAGAUUAGGUAGUUGGUGGGGUAAAGGCUCACCAAGCCAACGAUCUGUAGCUGGUCUGAGAGGACGACCAGCCACACUGGGACUGAGACACGGCCCAGACUCCUACGGGAGGCAGCAGUGGGGAAUUUUGGACAAUGGGCGCAAGCCUGAUCCAGCAAUGCCGUGUGCAGGAAGAAGGCCUUCGGGUUGUAAACUGCUUUUGUACGGAACGAAACGGCUCUGGUUAAUACCCGGGGCUAAUGACGGUACCGUAAGAAUAAGCACCGGCUAACUACGUG